rnacentral:rRNA from 1 species
UUUUUACGGAGAGUUUGAUCCUGGCUCAGGACGAACGCUGGCGGCGUGCUUAACACAUGCAAGUCGAACGAUGAAGCCCAGCUUG